AUUGAACGCUGGCGGCAGGCCUAACACAUGCAAGUCGAGCGGAUGAAGGGAGCUUGCUCCUGGAUUCAGCGGCGGACGGGUGAGUAAUGCCUAGGAAUCUGCCUGGUAGUGGGGGAUAACGUCCGGAAACGGGCGCUAAUACCGCAUACGUCCUGAGGGAGAAAGUGGGGGAUCUUCGGACCUCACGCUAUCAGAUGAGCCUAGGUCGGAUUAGCUAGUUGGUGGGGUAAAGGCCUACCAAGGCGACGAUCCGUAACUGGUCUGAGAGGAUGAUCAGUCACACUGGAACUGGGCCACGGUCCAGGCUCCUGCGGGAGGCAGCAGUGGGGAAUAUUGGACAGUGGGCGAAAGCCUGAUCCAGCCGUGCCGCGUGUGUGAAGAAGGUCUUCGGAUUGUAAAGCACUUUAAGUUGGGAGGAAGGGCAGUAAGUUAAUACCUUGCUGUUUUGACGUUACCAACAGAAUAAGCACCGGCUAACUUCGUG
rnacentral:rRNA from 1 species